rnacentral:rRNA from 1 species
UUCCGCUGCUUCCUAAUAUCAUGGAAUAACUAUUUGGUGAAUGUGAAGAUCUCUGUGAUCAUGAAUCUGAGCUUAUAGAAGAAAAAGCGGACCUACCAAGACAUCAGAGUCCACUCUAUUGUAAGUUGGAUCCCUCCCCCUGUUUCUUGUACACAGACCACACUCCUACAAAAGGUUGCUUAGAGGAUUGUUGGACAAAGGGGGCCAGUCUGAUCCAAACUUGCCUCGUGAUUGGUGAUCCAUCUGAGGUGCGCUAUCUGCUUUUGUAUUACAUGAAACUUCCUGACGUCCUGAGACUUGACGGUAUCGUAAGAAUAAGGAUCGGCUAACUCCGUGCCAGCAGCCGCGGUAAUACGGAGGAUCCAAGCGUUAUCCGGAAUCAUUGGGUUUAAAGGGUCCGUAGGCGGUCUUAUAAGUCAGUGGUGAAAUCUCCCCGCUCAACGGGGAAACGGCCAUUGAUACUGUAAGACUUGAAUUAUUAGGAAGUAACUAGAAUAUGUAGUGUAGCGGUGAAAUGCUUAGAGAUUACAUGGAAUACCAAUUGCGAAGGCAGGUUACUACUAAUGGAUUGACGCUGAUGGACGAAAGCGUGGGUAGCGAACAGGAUUAGAUACCCUGGUAGUCCACGCCGUAAACGAUGGAUACUAGCUGUUGGGGGCAACUUCAGUGGCUAAGCGAAAGUGAUAAGUAUCCCACCUGGGGAGUACGUUCGCAAGAAUGAAACUCAAAGGAAUUGACGGGGGCCCGCACAAGCGGUGGAGCAUGUGGUUUAAUUCGAUGAUACGCGAGGAACCUUACCAAGGCUUAAAUGUAGUUUGACCGAUUUGGAAACAGAUCUUUCGCAAGACAAAUUACAAGGUGCUGCAUGGUUGUCGUCAGCUCGUGCCGUGAGGUGUCAGGUUAAGUCCUAUAACGAGCGCAACCCCUGUUGUUAGUUGCCAGCGAGUAGUGUCGGGAACUCUAACAAGACUGCCAGUGCAAACUGUGAGGAAGGUGGGGAUGACGUCAAAUCAUCACGGCCCUUACGCCUUGGGCUACACACGUGCUACAAUGGCCGGUACAGA